rnacentral:lncRNA from 1 species
UACUAGUGGUCAAAUCCUUAUUGGCUGGAGUAGAGACUACUAAUACAUAUUCUAAAGGUGAUUGUUUAAUGUCAGAUGCUGAGUAAACUCAUGUGAUACAAAAUAGUGUGUUGAUCAUGUGUCUAUUAAAAGUUUAGCCAAGGUACUAGAGAUAGUGAACAUACCUUAGAUCACAUCCUGGGAGGCUUCAGUAUCUCUUUCGGUGAGGGCAUAUAC